ensembl:misc_RNA 7SK 7SK RNA
GGAUUUGAGGGUGAUCUGGCUGCAAAAUCUGUCACUCCACAGAUCGCUGGGGUUGAUUCAGCUGAUCUGGCUAGCUAGGCAGAUGUCCUCUUCCUCCCUCACUGCUCCACGAGCAUCCCUCCCAAAGCUGUGUGCUCGGUCAAAGAGGACAAAGUUCCCGAUAGAGGAAGACCGUUAUUCAGUCAAGGGUAUAUGAGUAGCUGUGCUCCUCUGCUAGAACCUCCCAACAAGCUCUCCAGGUCCAGUAAGCCAUUUGGCCAGCAAUUAGUUGUAUUACCAGCCUUCACUGUUUAACUUUCAAUCUUAGCAGAG